AUUGAACGCUGGCGGCAGGCCUAACACAUGCAAGUCGAGCGAGCGGCGGACGGGUGAGUAAUGUCUGGGAAACUGCCUGAUGGAGGGGGAUAACUACUGGAAACGGUAGCUAAUACCGCAUACCAUCAGAUGUGCCCAGAUGGGAUUAGCUGGUAGGUGGGGUAACGGCUCACCUAGGCGACGAUCCCUAGCUGGUCUGAGAGGAUGACGAACCACGCUGGAACUGAGACACGGUCCGAACUCCUCCGGAAGGCAGCGGUGGGGAAUAUUGCACAAUGGGCGCAAGCCUAAUGCGGCCAUGCCGCGUGUGUGAAGAAGGCCUUCGGGUUGUAAAGCACUUUCAGCGGGGAGGCGUUACCCGCGGAGAAAGCACCGGCUAACUCCGUGCCAGCAGCCGCGGUAAUAC
rnacentral:rRNA from 1 species